rnacentral:rRNA from 1 species
GACGAACGCUGGCGGCGUGCUUAACACAUGCAAGUCGAACGGAAAGGCCCUGCUUUUGCGGGGUGCUCGAGUGGCGAACGGGUGAGUAACACGUGAGUAACCUGCCCUUGACUUUGGGAGAACUUCAGGAAACUGGGGCUAAUACCGGAUAGGAGCUCUUGCUGCAUGGUGGGGGUUGGAAAGUUUCGGCGGUUGGGGAUGGAUUCGCGGCUUAUCAGCUUGUUGGUGGGGUAGUGGCUUACCAAGGCUUUGACGGGUAGCCGGCCCGGGAGGGUGACCGGCCACGUUGGUCCUGAGAUACGGCCCAGACUCCUACGGGAGGCAGCGGUGGAGAGUAUUACACAGUGGGCGGGAGCCAGAUGCAGCAACGCCGCGUGCGGGAAGCCGACCUUCGGGUUGUGAACCGCUUUCGCGUGUGACGAAGCGUAAGUGACGGUAAUGGGUAAGGAAGCACCGGCUAACUACGUG